AUUGAACGCUGGCGGCAGGCUUAACACAUGCAAGUCGAGCGGGGUGAUGGUGCUUGCACUAUCACUUAGCGGCGGACGGGUGAGUAAUGCUUAGGAAUCUGCCUAUUAGUGGGGGACAACAUCUCGAAAGGGAUGCUAAUACCGCAUACGUCCUACGGGAGAAAGCAGGGGAUCACUUGUGACCUUGCGCUAAUAGAUGAGCCUAAGUCGGAUUAGCUAGUUGGUGGGGUAAAGGCCUACCAAGGCGACGAUCUGUAGCGGGUCUGAGAGGAUGGUCCACCACACGGGGACUGGGACACGGCCCAGAGUCAUACGGGAGGCAGCAGUGGGGAAUAUUGGACAAUGGGGGGAAACCUGAUCCAGCCAUGCCGCGUGUGUGAAGAAGGCCUUAUGGAUGUAAAGCACUUUAAGCGAGGAGGAGGCUCUUUUGGUUAAUACCCAAGAUGAGUGGACGUUACUCGCAGAAUAAGCACCGGCUAACUCUGUGCCAGCCGCCGCGGUAA
rnacentral:rRNA from 1 species